UACGUAGGGGGCAAGCGUUGUCCGGAUUUAUUGGGCGUAAAGAGCGUGUAGGCGGCCAGACAGGUCCGUUGUGAAAACUCGAGGCUCAACCUCGAGAUGUCGAUGGAAACCGUCUGGCUAGAGUCCGGAAGAGGAGUGUGGAAUUCCUGGUGUAGCGGUGAAAUGCGCAGAUAUCAGGAGGAACACCGAUGGCGAAGGCAGCUCGCUGGGACGGUAUUGACGCUGAGACGCGAAAGCGUGGGGAGCAAACAGG
rnacentral:rRNA from 1 species